rnacentral:other from 1 species
GGAGCGCUGCAGGGUUCGCAAGCCGGGUAAUCCCUGAGGCCAAUUCUAACCUCUAGGGAGCUGUCCCUACCGAGACCGUGGUCUCGGAUAUACGGUGCCCACCUGCUUAGGCAGGCCACGGAGGAUUCAUACGUGCGAACGGCCCAGGUGGCACCGCC